rnacentral:lncRNA from 15 species
GGAGAGUUGCUGGAAGGAUGCAAAUGUACCAGCAAUAUACAAGUCCUUAAAUGCCUUGAUGCCGUAGUCAGACCACAAAGAAAAAGCCCCAUCAAUUAAGGAAGGAUGAAAAACAGCCUGAGCAGCAUUUUGGGCACCUUGAUUUAAAGGAAACAGCUCACUCUUGUCCAAAUUUAGUUUAUAGCCUGAAAUCUGACCAAAUGAACUAAGGAGGUCAAGAGCAGCUGGAACUGAGACAGAGAGAUUGGACACAUAUAGUAACCAUGAGAUACUGCAGUUGUGGCUAGUUGUUCUUCAGCUGGACAUGGUCAUGGAAAGGUAGACGAUGAAUGUGUAGGCACUUGUACCUUCUCAUUCACACACGUUAUUCUUACUCCAAGCUUCUUCCCUUGUGAACGCCUCCGAUCAACAAUCUCUUCUUCUUCUGCGUUUAUCCCACGGGACUUCACUUGUUGCAGGUAAACGCAGAAGAAGAAAUUGUUGCAGGAAGUGUGCAAAUCGGAGAGUAGUGUGUGAAGACAUGGACAUUUUUGAGGGGGAAAUAAACUUUCUUUCGUCGUGAAGGCAUUAUUUCUGUGAUCGAUUAUUCUGGGCUUUCGGUGAAGCGAGCGGUGGAAAAACAGGUAGGUGACAGUACUGUUUUGUACGGUUUCGGCACAACGUAUGAGUUGAAAAGGCAUGUUGUUGUCACGUAAGGGCCCUGAUCAUGUUGCACAGACAUUUUAAUUACAUUUUGUGUCUGUUAAGAGGAGCAAAAGGCACUCUUUAUGAUAUGCCCCCAAGAAGUGUAUUAUAACUAACUGGGAGCUCUGGCCAUUAGCUGCAGGAUCUCCAGUUUGCUAGAACCAAUUCUGGUCGUUGUUUUUCCUAUCGACAGUACUCGGGGACCUCUAGUGAUCAAGACUAGGGUAAAAAUCUGCCGAAGUUCUCUGGAGGUGGAAGCUGCUAAAUGUUUGAAAUUGACAGAUCUAUUUGGUGCCGGGGUCACCACCCCAGCAGGUGCUGCUGCGCUGGGAGACGAGCGAGCGGAGGCAGACAUGGUUGACCACCCUAUAUAUGAGAGCCUAAGAAGUUGUUUUCCUUCUGUCCCCUUUUGAGGACCUGCUUUGUCUCCUCCAUCAUUCACUGGGCCACUUUUGGGUUCCUGAGCUUAUUUCAUGUGGUGAGAGGAAUGCAAUAUGUGUAUGUUUAAAGGUUUAUGUGAAGAAAUAUACUAUAUGUGUGAUAAAAUGACAAUUGGUAAUUCAUAAAUGUCUCUUUAUAUUCUCUGCUACCAUCAUCUCCUGUCAAACAGGAGAGAGAGAGAGAGAGAGAGAGAGAGAGAGAGAGAGAGAGAGAGAGAGAGAGGUUAUUAUGCAACUUGUUUUGUCUCAGAUUGAAACAAAAGGUUUGAUUAGGAUUAUUUCCUGGUUGAAGAUUUUCAUAUUGAUGAUUUGAAUUUCAAACAUCUGCAUAUAUUUUAAGUUCAGUUAACAGUUAUGCAGGUAGGCCUUAGGGCUCUUUUGAGACUUCAGUCAUCCUUCAUGACAGAUACAUUUGUUCACUAAGUGUCACUACAUCACAAAAAGGCUACAUGGCUACAUAUACUUGUCAGUACACAGAUACUGAGUACAAGUUGUGUUUGCUGUUUCUUGCAGGUCAUGAAUUUGGUGAGGAGUGGAGCUGGCUGGCUGCGGACGA